rnacentral:rRNA from 1 species
UACGAAGGGGGCUAGCGUUGCUCGGAAUUACUGGGCGUAAAGCGCACGUAGGCGGCUUUCUAAGUCGGGGGUGAAAUCCUGGAGCUCCAACUCCAGAACUGCCCUUGAUACUGAGGAGCUCGAGUCCGGAAGAGGUGAGUGGAACUGCGAGUGUAGAGGUGAAAUUCGUAGAUAUUCGCAAGAACACCAGUGGCGAAGGCGGCUCACUGGCCCGAUACUGACGCUGAGGCGCCGAAAGCGUGGGGGAGCAAACA